UCGUGGGAGACAGCGCAUUCACACACAUCGUGCGGACUAACUCCGCAAGUGAGCUCAAGUAUAGGCAAGGCUGUUUGGCUUUGCAUAGAACCUAUGACAAACAGUGGAUUACGUGAAGAACUAUAGAUCAAAGAUCGUAUGCUAUCCAUGAGAGAAUGUGAAAGUGAGGCUUUUCAAAACUCGAUGAUUGACUAAUGGUGCACCCUUCCAGACAUGUUUGGCUGUCCUCAGCAGUGGUCUUGGAGUGGAGAGCAAGCCACAGAGAGAGAGAGAGAGAGAGAGAGAGAGAGUGUGUGUGUGUGUGUGUGUGUGUGUGUGUGUGUAUGUGUGUGGGUGGGCGUCAAAUCAGGAUAGUGGGUCAGCUGAGGUCAGUCUUCAUUCAUUAUACUGUGGACAAGUGAGUACAACGUGUUACACAGACCAGGUACAAUGACACAGAUCUCUCUCUCUCUCUCUCUCUCUCUCUCUCUCUCUCUCUCUCUCUCUCACACACACACACACACACACACACACACACACACACACACACACACACACACACAGACGCAUGCAUUUGUCCAUAGGGGAUGGCUCAUUAGGAACACGCCCCACUCAGAACCCAUCUUUUGUUCUCACAGGGACUUAGAGUCCAUCCAUCAGGAGACAUCAGGCACAAUAAACCUGCCACUUUACCAAAACACACCAGCACCCCACUCCUGCCACUCUACCAAAACACACCAGCACCACACUCCUGCCACUUUACCAAAACACACCAGCGCCACACUCCUGCCACUCUACCAAAACACACCAGCGCCACACUCGUGUCACUUCCAUCCAUGCUGUAUCAAAGUGUUACAGUAAAGCUGCAAUCUUGAUGUGUUUUUGCUAAAUAAAUCCACUAAAUAAACAACUAUUUUAAUUUUG